UUUUUUUUUUUUUUUUUUUUUUUGUCUUUUUGCCAUUUUCUUGGGCCGCUGCCACGGCACAUGGAGGUUCCUGGGCUAGGCACCUAAUUGGAGCUGUUGCCGCUGGCCUUUGCCAGAGCCACAGCAACGCAGGAUCUGAGCCACAUCUGUGACCUACACCACAGCUCAGGGCAACACUGGAUCCUUAAUCCACUGAGCGAGGCCAAGGAUCAAACCUGCAACCUCAUGGUUCCUGGUUGGAUUCGUUAACCAUGGAGCCACGACGGGAACUACUCCCCUGUUCUUACUUUAUGUAGUAUGCCAACCACUGGAAGUUGUCAUGGGCUGCUAUGAUUUUCAGAUUGGAAAUCUGUGGCUCUUGGAUUCAGUAUAAACCCCUCUCAUGAUAAAAAGCUUUGACAUUAUUCAUACCUGGAGUCAAUGAGUUCUUUGAGAAAAAAUACUUACCUCCCUUUUCCAGUCACAGAAUCACCUACUUCCGCCUAUAUGUUUUCACAAUUUUGAGGAAAGCUUUUGUCAUUGCUUUUCAAAUAUACUUUUGUCUUGUAAAGCAAUUCUUAGGAAAACGUUUGUAGCCUCCCAUGUUUGCUAAGCUAACAUUUUCUACUUUGAGAAGGUCAAGGAAAUUAAUUACUUAGUAGGCCUGGGGAAACUGGUCUAAGAAAAGACUUCUCAGAUGUCUAAGAGUAAGAAUUAAAAAAAAAGAAAGAAAAAGCUGCAGGAAUAGACCAUGCCCAGGCCUAAAAACUGAGUCUGCCAUCAGGAGGUUGCAAUUACAAAACAAGCUUUCAGUACUCCAGUACCCAGUGAGAGUCUGUAAUUCUGACAUGCUAGGGCACUUAUUGGGGUAAAACCAGGAUGAGCUUUUAAGCAAGAAAUGGAUAUGCUGACAUUCUUAUUUUAAAGGAGUGUCGUUUUGUUCAAUUUGAAAUUGUAAUGGAAGGUGAUCCUUCAUGUGUAUAUUAAGAUAUUCAAAUUCAGUGUCAUAUGUUUGAAGGACACUAAAAGGUGUCAUUAUACCCCAAGUACUGAGAUUUUGGCACUUGAGAGCCCUGAGUUUCAGAAUGUCAGCACAGGCCACACCUACAGUGCGGUCCCAUCCCCUCCCCACUAUGCCCAUGUUUUGGGGCUGCUCGAUUGAUUAUAGACUCUAUAAUAUAAUCAUCAUUAUGCAGCAGUGACUAUAGAGGUCACUGAAUAUACAUUUUGGCCACUUAUUCGCAACAGCCUCCUGUAAGAAAGAGUAUAUUCAGCAGGGGAUCGAGGCAUGUGUUGAUGCUCAAAGAAUGAAAUCUGGAAGAUUACUCAAUCCAGAUGGCACUAAAAAUGUAUGGUUUUAUUCGCCCCAACUUUAGAAGUCUGAUAUACAGUGUAGAAACAGUAUUUCUCCGCUCCCUCCCUUGCUAGGUUGGGUCUGUGUCACUGGUUACUAUCCUGCAUAUGAGACACCAAAUAGCUUGCUCUUGCCUGAGGUGGAUGGAGUGAAAGAUUUGGGGAAUGGUGUGUGGGCGCUUGUGUGCAUGUGGUGUGUGUGUGUGUGUGUGUGUGGUGUGUGUGUGUGUGUGUGUGUUGAUCGAGCAUGAUUCCUCUGCCCCCAUUUUAGGGCCGUACUUGCAGCAUAAUGCAGUUUCCAGGCUAGGGAUCAAAUCAUACCUACACCCUGGCCUACAACACAGCUCACAGCAAUGUUGGAUCUUUAGCCUGCUGAGCGAGGCCAGGGAUGGAACUUGCAUCCUCAUGGAUACUAGUCAGGUUCCUUAUUGCUGAGCCACAACAGGAACUCCAAAUACUAUUUAUGAAGGAAUAUUUUCCAUGCCAUUUGGCUGCUGAAGACCCAGAAUCAGUCAUUCCUUUCAUUCCUUCUUGCAGAACAGACCACCCUUUCCUCCCUGAGGUCCUGUCCUUUGUAACAUAGAACCAAGGCAGCUGACACAUGGGGCUGAUGCUGUUUCCCUGAUGUUUUCCCUUUAAGCUGCAGUGAGGUAGGCAGAGGACAUACUUCCUGAGACACCACAGGUGAUGCAUUUAAUAUUCUCUCCACAACAGAACAUGGAACACCAUCUUUCUAACCCCCAAGAUUGGUUUCUUCAUCAGCUAUAACAUACCACCAAGCCAGUGCCUCUUAUUUUAGCUACUUCCUUUUUUUUUUUGUAAAUCUUUUUAGGGACACACCCAUGGCACAUGGAAGUUCCCAGGCUAGGGGUCCAAUUGGAGCUGCAGCUACCAGCCUAUGCUGUGGCCACCUCAAUGCCAGAUCUGAGCUGAGUCUCUGACCUACCCUGAAGCUCAAGGUAAUGCCAGAUCCUUAAUCCAAUGACCUGGACUAGGGAUCAAACCCACCUCCUCAUGGAUACCAGUCAGGUUUGUUAACCUCUGAGCCACAACGGGAACUCCAUAUUUUAGUUAUUUCCUGAAGGUGGAAAAGGGACAAUGUUGACUUGUGUGCUGCUUGGUAAAGGCUCCAGGCAGAAAGUGACCCUUUCUGAUUCUGUUUCUAGUCUAGAACACGUCACAAGGCCCUGUUUACCAUCCCAGAGGAGAGGCAGCAUCGUCCACGUGUCUCCAAAAGCAGGAGACUCAACCACUGAAUGAUUGAGUCCUGAGAUACAAAUGAUUACCUGAGAUAUAUCCUGAUGAAGUGCUAUUAAUGGUCAUUGGCUCAAGGUUAUGUACCACACAGCAGAGAUGCACGGCAGACAGCUCAGUCCUCUCUCUACCCUUCCCUCCCUCUCUCUCCCUCCCUCUCCCACCUUCCAACAUAAUUCAGACAGUGGUGAAGUGCAGGAGCACAGGUGUAAGUGUCCGUUAUUAAUACCAUUAACAUUCUUGGGUUGUGUAGUGGUUUAUAAGUGUGGGACUCACCUUCUUUCUCCAGCACUGAACACGGUGAGUGGCUCCUGCACCUUGGACAACAAACAGAUGUGUGGCUGGAGGCUCAGAAGUGAGAGGAAGCAGUGGCCUGAACAUCAGCCUCUGGUUCCCGAGAGCGGACCCAGCAGCAGAGGUGAGUGAUGGGCGUGAGGAAUCGUAGGUUCAGUGGUCAGCCAGAGCCUGGGCAGUGGACAGCGCUGAAAGGCGUGGGGCUGGGGGUGUGUGUGUGGGAUGGAGAAAUUUUGUGUGUUAGCACAUGUAGACCCUCUCCUGGGGAUUAUGGGCUUCAGUGGGGAUAGGCAUUCUCCUCUAAUGGGAGGGGAUGAAGGCCAGACAAAGUUCAGCACCAUGAAGGCCAGCUCAGCAGAACUCCUGGGCUGGUGAACCCUGGGAAAGUACCAGUUGCAUUAAAACAAGUUCAUGGAGUUCCCGUUAUGGCUCAGUGGUUAACGAAUCUGACCAAGAACCAUGAGGUUGUGGGUUUGAUCCCUGGCCUCGCUCAGUGGGUUAAGGAUCUGGUGUUGCCGUGAGCUGUGGUGUACGUUGCAGACGGGGCUUAGAUCCCACAUUGCUGUGGUGUGGUGUAGGCCAGCGGCUACAGCUCCGAUUAGACCCUUAGCCUGGGAACCUCCGCAUGCCUCGGAUGCGGCCCUAGAAAAGACAGAGAGACAAAAAAAGAAAAAAAAAAAGUUCAUGAUGUGAAGUUGGUAAGUGUACUGUGGUUACAUAUGAGAAUAUCCGUACUGGAAAAUACACAGUCAUCUAGAGGUAAGGGCCUUCAUAUUUACGACCUUAACUUUUUCAGAAAAAAAUUUGUAUGUGUUUGUGUACGCAUAUAGAGAAAUGGUAUGCAUAAUACAUGGGGUAAAAUACUAUCAGUAGGUGAGUCUUGGUCAAAGCUAUAUAAUAUAUUUAUUUUUGCAAUGUUGGGUAAGUGUUCUAUUAUUAUUUUUUCUUCCCAUUUAUGGCUGCAUCUGUGGCAUAUGGAAGUUCCUGGGUUAGGGGUCAAAUUGGAGCUGCAGCUGGGGCCUAUGCCACAGUCACAGCCACACCAGAUUUGAGCUGCAUCUGCGACCUAUGCCACAGCUUGUGGUAGUGCCCUAUCCUUCACCCACUGGGUGAAGCCAGGGAUGGAACCCACAUCCCUACAGAGACAAUGCAGGGUUCUUAACCCCCUGAGUCAAAAGAGGAAUUCCCUAUUCAAUCAUUUCUUUCUUCCCUUUUUUUUUUUUUUUGGUUUUAAGUAGAAUUGCAAUGAUAUUUAUUUAUUUAUUUACUUACUUAUUUUGCUUUUUAGGGCUGCACCUGCGGCAUAGGGAGGUUCUCAGGCUAGGGGUCCAAUCAGAGCUACAGCUGCCGGCCUACGCCACAGCCACAGGAGCGCGGGAUGUGAGUCGGGUCUUCGACUCCACCACAAGCUCACAGCCACGCCAGAUCCUUAACCCACCGAUCGAGGCCAGUGAUUGAGCCUGCAACUUCACGGUUCCUAGUGGGAUUGGUGCUAUGCUGUGUGUGCCCUGAGCAGGGUACCCCCCUCCUCAGGUGGUGGCUGUCACUUGUGUGACCAAGAGCACUGCUCCCUGGUUCUCUAGCCAGUCACACGUUUCUUCUUGUUGCCAGAGGCUGAUGACCUGGGACUUUCAGGGGCAGGAGGCCCAAGGGCAGGGCCUGCAGCCUGCAGUGGGCAGGGCUGGGCAGGGCCUGCAUGCUUGCUCUCCCCAUAAAAGCUCAACACUUGCCCCCCAUCAGGACUCUACUGCAGACAGUAGCCCUGAGCCUCCACCUGGCAGGGAGUUCUCAGCUCCUGGCAUCUGUGAGGAAGGAAAGGAGGGAGCUCUCUGUGCUGUGAGGAAGGUGUUUCUGAGUCUGAGAGAUGGUCUGCGUGUGGGGAGGCAAGAUGCCAGCUCAGGUCUGGUCUUGGUCUCAGGGAUGGAGAGGGAUUUAAGGAGAAAGGAGCCCAUGGCCAGUGAAGUAUUUGUAGGGCUGGAUAGGGGUGGGGGCUAUUCGAGGAGGUUCCCAAACGGCUAGAAGCCCAUACCUUUCCAUUUGAGGUUUCCUUACUCAGAAAGUUCAGGGAGAAAGGAUGGGAGGAAAAGAAAGGAUGGUCCAGCCAGUAACCUUAGGCAUCUCUUUUUCCCCUUAGAGGAUUUUUGGGGCCCGAUUCUGCCUCCUGCUGUUCCUCUCUGUGGCCACCAGAGGGCAGAGUGCAGGUAAGUGUCUGAGGAGCAGCAGUUUCUUCAGCUGCCCUGAGGUGUGCAGAGGAGCAGAGGGACUAGAGCUGGGCUGCAGGCUGAAGUCGUAACACAGAGGGGAAGUCAUGGAGAUGCACAGAGGCCAACUUUGUAGCCAACCUGAUGUGUCCUGGGUGCUGAUUGCUGGCUUCUCCGUGGGUCUGGUCUGAAGAAGGUAGGGUGUUAGUUAAGCCACACCCUGGGGCUCCACUCUGUGCGUUAGGUUGGCUGGCAGGCUCAGGGGAGCCAUGGUAAAGUCUGUUCCGUUGUUGCUACUCCUUCUCCUAUGGCCUUGGCCUGGGGAUUCCCUGAAGGAGCUGGUGGUCAGGGCUGUAUGACAGAGGAGGCUCAGGGGCGGCAUGGUAAAGACUGCCCCCUUCUGGGUGAGCUAGGGGAGGAGAGAGAGAAAUUAGGAGUUUGGAAUUAAUAUGCACAUGCUACUGUAUAUAAAAUAGUCAAACAACAGGGACCUACUGUGUAGGACAGGAAACUAUACUCAAAAUCGUGUAAAAACGUAGAAUGGAAAAAGAAUCUGAAAAAGAAUUACUUGGCGGUAUACUUGAGACUAACACUGUUAUGGCAGAUACCCAGCAGCCCUGCGCUGCAGCGUACCAGCUCUGGCGACAGCCUCAUGGCUGU
rnacentral:lncRNA from 1 species